GAGUUUGAUCCUGGCUCAGGAUGAACGCUGGCGGCGUGCCUAAUACAUGCAAGUCGAACGAAACUUCUUUAUCACCGAGUGCUUGCACUCACCGAUAAAGAGUUGAGUGGCGAACGGGUGAGUAACACGUGGGCAACCUGCCCAAAAGAGGGGGAUAACACUUGGAAACAGGUGCUAAUACCGCAUAACCAUAGUUACCGCAUGGUAACUAUGUAAAAGGUGGCUAUGCUACCGCUUUUGGAUGGGCCCGCGGCGCAUUAGCUAGUUGGUGGGGUAAAGGCUUACCAAGGCAAUGAUGCGUAGCCGAACUGAGAGGUUGAUCGGCCACAUUGGGACUGAGACACGGCCCAAACUCCUACGGGAGGCAGCAGUAGGGAAUCUUCCACAAUGGGCGAAAGCCUGAUGGAGCAACGCCGCGUGGGUGAAGAAGGUCUUCGGAUCGUAAAACCCUGUUGUUAGAGAAGAAAGUGCGUGAGAGUAACUGUUCACGUUUCGACGGUAUCUAACCAGAAAGCCACGGCUAACUACGUGCCAGCAGCCGCGGUAAUACGUAGGUGGCAAGCGUUAUCCGGAUUUA
rnacentral:rRNA from 1 species